AAAAGGAUCACACACGAGGGAGAACUAAAAGGGAAACAUGUCACAAUAAAUACGCUAACUUUAGACUUAUAACUUAGGAGAAAUACAGACAUAAACCCCCAAAUAGGGGAGGAAUUCCAC